rnacentral:tRNA from 1 species
GGGGCUGUGGCUCAGUGGUAGAGCGCUUGCCUAGCAUGUGGGAGGCACUGGGUUUGAUCCUCAGCACCA